CCAAAACCCCGUCUCUUUCUGAAUUCUGAAGCCUAAACCCUAGAGGAAGCCCUCCAGGACUAGCAACUCUCUCCAAUGGCGUCUCGCUGCCGCACCUUGUCAAGACCAGCCUUUAAUCUAAUCAGAUCUACAGUCUCCAAACCCACACUAAAGCCCAAUUUUUCCCUUCAGAGUACUAGCUCCCUUCCGACGCUUCCUAGGCCAUUGCCUCAAAUGGGUGCUCUUCAAUCCCUGCUACCGCUCUACUCCGCCGUCUCUUCUGCCCGCCUCACCUCUUGCCUCGGCCUCGACUCUAAGUGCUCCCGCUCGUUGUCUCAGGGUAUGCUCUGCAGUGCCAAUCCAGGAGUUUGAUACCUAUUUUGUAAUGUAUCUAUCUAAUUAGGUCUUUCUGUGCCUCGAUAAGAGACUUACGCCAAAGGUUGAAGAUGUGGUUUGACAUGGCAUCUUAUAACAUGAAUUUGGCAUCAUAUGUUUCUCAUACCUCCUGUUUGAAAGUUCUGUAUACUAUAAACGUUGAUGCUACUACUUUAGAGUCUUCCAAUUUAUGCUACUAUUUUCUUACAUUUGCUGAUUUGCAUGACAUCUCUCCUUCAAAUCUCCAAUUGAUUAGUUGCACUGCUAAUAAUGGAGUACUGAUGCCAUGCCUGCUGAAAUUCAUUGAAUAGCAGCAAAAAAUGUUACUCCAUACUUGUUUACCCCAUGUCUUGAUUUGCUUAGAUUAUGUAUGCGAGAGGCUAAUGAGUUGGAAUAUGUCUUUUCCUGAAAAGAUAGUAUUGAUGCUUUAUCUUUAGAACAAA